GAAGGUGGUUAUAGCGGUAAGGUCACACCUGUUCCCAUCCCGAACACAGAAGUUAAGCUUACCCGCGCUGAUGGUACUGCAUGGGCAACUGUGUGGAAGAGUAAGUCGCCGCCUUCU
rnacentral:rRNA from 1 species